rnacentral:siRNA from 1 species
AGAAACAGUUGGCGUCGAACCUGA